rnacentral:rRNA from 1 species
GACAGAGGUGCCGAGCGUUAGGCGGAAUCACGUGGGCUUAAAGCGUGUGUAGGCGGGUCGUUAAGUGUCUUGUGAAACUCCCCCGGCUCAACCGGGGAAUGGCUGGGCAUACUGGCGAUCUUGAGCAGUCUAGGGGCAGAUGGAACAAGUGGUGGAGCGGUGAAAUGCGCAGAUAUCAGGAGGAACACCAAUGGCGAAGGCAGCUCGCUGGGACGUGACUGACGCUGAGACGCGAAAGCGUGGGGAGCAAACAGG